ensembl:ncRNA ZK849.7 ncRNA
CAACUUUAAAGGCGCAUACCUUAGAAACUGGAAGAGAUAUCAAAAAGUUGUCAACUAGCAAAAUGUA